rnacentral:lncRNA from 1 species
GGAGGUUCCGGCCAGGUGGUGUUGACCCAGACAAGAUAGCCCUGCUUGUACAAUCAAGCUGUUCUUAGGAAUGUCUUAACAACAGCCCUGUCUGUUCUGCUUUGUUCUCGGCCCCAGGCCGGGGCUCAUAGACAACUUUUUUUGCAUGAAUCACAAGAUAUAAAAUCUCAUUUUCUUUUAUCCCCUUAUCCCAACAUCUGUUACUCUGAUGAUAUCCAGUCUUAUACAUUCAUAUGACAUCAAAUACUAUGAAUUCUCAAAUCAUAUAUUUAGUCUGCAUCACUUUCCUGAAUAUAUAAGACCUGGUUGCUUAGUUGGCAACUUGAGUAGGAGAGAUAAAAGAUGUUUUAAUGCUAGAAAGAGAGAAAAAAAAAAAAACAAAAAAAAAAACCAGAGGUCCAAUUUCUUCCUACACCAGUUUCCCGUUUAGUGAAUGGCAUUCCAUCCUCCACUUAGGAUGGUUUAGGUCCAGCUCCCAAGGGUCAUCUUUUUUACCUCACUUUGUCUCAUAAUCCACCUAGAAAUUUAACAAAUAUUAUACUCUCCUCUCUACCUUCAAAUUACAGCUCAAAGUAGACAGGAUUCCCCUUUCACAAUCUUAUGCAAGCAGCCUUCCUUCCUUCCUUUCUAGCCACUGAGAAGGGGAGGUGUCUGCCACUCCCCUUACUCUCACAUUCCUGAGGGCAGGUUACUUGGCAGCUGCAUAUGUGUCCUGGCUUCCUUGCUUUCAGGAAACUCACACACAGUCGCUGACCAGGCCCCAUGGUCUCCUUCUCCCUUUCUUUUCUGCCCUCAUCUCCCCAGACUCCCCCACCCAGUGUUAACUGGUUUCCUUGUCCUGGCUUUUGAGCUCACAGAACAGAAUCCCAAACAGAUCAAAGUCCCACUCAGAGUCCGUGACUACUGUUUCAUACAGAUGUCUCCAUGCUUUCUAUACAUCCCUGAAGACCUUCUUCUUAAAUACUUAAGGAAGGCCCUUUUAUGCCAUUGUGUUUGAUAUAGAAAUGUACCCCACAAUUACAGGUCUAGUACCUCCCUUUAUAUUCAUUCCUUCAAUGCUUACCACAACUCAUAGCUUUUAAUAAUUUGUUAAUUGUGCGUAUUCCCACAAUUGAGUGUGAACUUCAUACACAGAAAGGUUUUUUUUUUUUUUUGUCUUUUGUAUUAAAUGCAAAACCCCAGACUCCUAGAUCAGUGCCCUGUAUAUAGUAUAUACUCAAUAAAUGUUGCUGAAUAACUGAAUUCAUGCACAGAUUUUAUAACCAUAAAACUCCCAUUCAAACAACAUGCUUAUGAAUCCUCUUAAAAUAUUGAAGAUUUGGCAACACUGGGCGUAUCCUCCCCAGCUAACAGGUACCGGAGAGGGGCUUAGGAGCCAUUUCCUUCUAAUGCUCACCACCACUUCCUGUUAUUCUCACCCAGGUUGACUGAGCGUGACCCGACUCUCCAGUGACACCCAGUCUGGGUCUGUUUGUAUCAAUGGGAAACAACACCUACUCCUUUCCCCAAAGGUAGUUUUCAAAAAAACAGGAAUUGUUUUACUUUAUAAAAUCGCUUUAUUAUAACGAUCU